rnacentral:tRNA from 1 species
GUGGCUGUAGUUCAGUUGGUUAGAGCGUCAGAUUGUGGUUCUGAAUGUCGUGGGUUCGAAUCCCACCAGCCACCCCA